AUUGAACGCUGGCGGCAGGCCUAACACAUGCAAGUCGAGCGAGCGGCGGACGGGUGAGUAAUGUAUGGGGACUGCCCGAUAGAGGGGGAUAACUACUGGAAACGGUGGCUAAUACCGCAUACUAUCGGAUAACCCAUAUGGGAUUAGCUAGUAGGUGGGGUAAAGGCUCACCUAGGCGACGAUCUCUAGCUGGUCUGAGAGGAGGAUAAGCCAAACUGGGACUGAGACAAGGCCCAAACUCCAAGGGAGGGAGCAGUGGGGAAUAUUGGAAAAUGGGGGCAAGCCUGAUGGAGCCAUGCCGGGUGUAUUAAGAAGGCCUUAGGGUUGGAAAGUACUUUCAGCGGGGAGGCGUUACCCGCAGAAGAAGCACCGGCUAACUCCGUGCCAGCAGCCGCGGUAAUUC
rnacentral:rRNA from 1 species